UUUUUUUGCAAAAUUAGGGCGACGUACGAAAAGCCCUGGGAGACGUUGCUUGCUUUAAUAAUAGGUAUAGAUUUUAAAAAAUUCACUUUUUGGCACUAAGGCCUUGCUUGGCAACUCAAGAAGCCAGUUUCGUAUUCUGAUCCCCUCGUGAAACUAAGAGAACUGUUUCUAGUCUCUUCCCUCUUACUAGUAGUAGUAGAAUCAUCCGCUAACCCUCACCCUCUCUCCCCCGCAUCCGAACUGGCUGGCCGCUAACCCUUACCCUCUCUCAC
rnacentral:lncRNA from 1 species